UACGUAGGUGACAAGCGUUGUCCGGAUUUACUGGGCGUAAAGAGCGCGCAGGCGGUCGAUCAAGUCGCGUGUGAAAGCCCCCGGCUCAACUGGGGAGGGUCACGCGAUACUGAUCGACUCGAAGGCAGGAGAGGGUAGUGGAAUUCCCGGUGUAGUGGUGAAAUGCGUAGAUAUCGGGAGGAACACCAGUGGCGAAGGCGACUACCUGGCCUGUUCUUGACGCUGAGGCGCGAAAGCUAGGGGAGCAAAGCGGGG
rnacentral:rRNA from 1 species